GAGAACACAGAGUUCUAAAGAUGCUGGUUUUAUCCAGAGUGCUGUCCUCUUCUCGUACUUGCUGUCACAGAAAGGGUAUCUGUGGUUUAAGCUGUUUCCCUAUUUUAGACUUUUCAAAUGGUCAUUGGGGGAGAAAUGUAAAUGUAAAUAAGAUUUAUGCAGGGUUGAUUGAUUAUCUCUUUUUGCAUUUUAAAUAUGAUGCCUGAAUCAUUUUUAGGUUUCAUCUGAAAUGUGAAAAUGAGCAUAAUUUCUGAUUCAUACAAAAACUGGGGGUGGGGAGAGUUUUGCAGAUAUAUAAACCAAAAUAAUGCAAAACCAAAUGAAUUUAAGAAAAGCUUGUCAAACCUUUUCUAUGGCUACCAGAUAAGAAAGUGGAAUACAGGAAGUGUGAAAGCUUAACAUGGGUGAGAAGCGAGCAGGUUGGGUGUGGGAAUGGCUCACUAGCCUUUCAUUUCUAAGGCACUGAUACUGCAUGGAGCUCACUGCAAUAUGUAAGCACCUGCUUAACUUCAAAUAUGCGAGCAAGCCUACCAACUUAACAGAUUACUUGUGUUUAGAAGUUAAUGGGACUGCUCACAUGCAUUAUCACAUCCUUUGCUUAACAGGAGUUAGUAUCACAAGUGCAGACCCCUUCUAGUAGUGACUGUUUAGUAGGGUGACCAGAUAGCAAGUAUGAAAAAUCAGGACAGAGUGUGGGGGGUAAUAGGUGCUUAUAUAAGAAAAAGCCCCAAAUAUUGGGACUAGCCCUAUAAAAUUGGGACAUCUGGUCACCCUACUGUUUGGUAGCCUAUGCGAAAUGAGCUGGUGCUCUCCAUCCAGUUAGUAGCAGACAGGCAUAUGUGCUGCAAUGUCCACUUAACUGCAUCUUCAAGAGCAAACCAGGAGGCCAAGGGGUGAGUGAUGAACUAGGACCUUAGUUUCCAUAAUCUACACAUGAACAUGUACAUAAUCCUCCUCAUGCAAGUAGACACCUUGAACUCUAAGUCUUGCUCAUGUGAGUGCAGAGCGAUGCGUAUAUUUAAAUGUUUGCAAGAUCAUAAACUAGCCUAUCACACCCAAGAGGUCACAUCCUCCCGCCUCACAGGGUUUCAGAGCCCAGGCUCCAGCCCCAGCCUGAACAGCUGACCUGGGCUCUGACACUAGGUGCUUCAGGUUUUUUUAUCAGUGUAGACAUAUCCGUGUGCUAAGCCACAUUUAUGCUGGACUUAACUGUGUCCGAAAACAGAAUUUGAAUUUAGUUUUAAAAAUACCGCAGUUCUAGCUAAACUCUGCAGUACCAGACUGACUUUGAGUGUGGUGGUGUAUGUGUGUUGAUACUGAAAAAAAUAAAAAGGUGUGUGGUCGUGGUAGAGUGGGGGUGGCACAAGUGUAGGUGAGACAAGUUCAUGGUUUGUGAAAUCCAAACAUUUAAAAUAUAUCAUGCACGUGAAAGAGAAAUGGUUUUCUGACUUUUUAUGAUGUAUGAAGGUAGCUUUUUUGUUACUAUUCUGUUUGGAUUUUUACCCUGGUUUCCUGGAAGACCAUAAGGGUAAGUGGAGAACUCUGAUAUGUAUGAUUUGAAACCUAACUGAGAAAAGUUGCAGGCUUUUUGUUUGUUUUUUGUAAUUCAGACGAUUUAAAACUAUUGUUUUUGUUAACACCCAUUUAACUCAAAUACACAAUAGACAAUUCAGAAGAGAGCUCUUUUGCUAAAGAUUGAAGACCUUCUUCAAUUAAAAGCCAAGAAACCACAUCUCUGGAUUCUUCGGAAAAAAACAGGGGAGAUGAGACAACAUUACUGACAUUUCUAAGCUUAAGAAAAGUAUAAAUUUUGUUGAAGUUUUUUCUAUAUACAAUUACACACAAAAGGAGAUUAACCCAAUGUCCAUCUCCUGACCCACCUACCAUUGAAGUCAACUUUAAAAAGCAGCUUCCAGUGUCUCAUUUCCCACUAGCUUCCUUGGAAUGUAGGCUUGAGCACAGUAAAUCCUCUUUAUUGACUGCUUCUCAAUACGUAGUAUCUAUUCUUUUUCAAUUUCCUAUAAUUCCCUAUCCCUCUUUCCCCAAACGCCCCCUUCCUUCUCUUUCUUUCAGUCCUGAAUUCUAGAUUUCCAGUCCUCACAAGAAGUGAUAUUCAGUCCUUGGAACAAGUGAUUGAUAAUGUCUAUUUGGGAGAGGAAGCAAGGUCUUCUGUCAAUGAGGGGAUGGAUGGUUACAGAUGGUGCAGUAAACAAUUGUAAUUGUGCCUGUGUAAUGGACUCAACAAGAUUGUGUAUUUCCACUUCUCAAACCACUUACAAAACUUAACUGCAAUCUAGUUAGUAAUUAAGGGCUUCAUCCUGCUCCCAGUCCAGUCAAUGGGAAAACUCCCACUGACUUGAAAGAUGCAGAAUAAAGACUGAAGAUCUCAAACAAAAAAAGGAAGGUGAAACUACAAAAGACAAAGUAAACGAUUAUGCUACUAAGUAUGGAACUUGCUCCCAUCAGAGACCUGAGUUCAGGUAUUAUCAACCAAAGCUAAAUUAAAGUUCCCCUAUUUGGAGUCCAGAGUGAAACUACUGCAAAUCAGUCAGUCUGAAGGUGACUGAAAAGGACAGUAACUAUGUAAAAUGACACCUUUUUACUUUACACAUCUGCUCCCUGUAUGAAUUUACCAGGGUGAAUUUGAUUUAAAUAAAAUUCAUUAGUCAGGAAGACUACAUUUAAUCAUGGAUUUCUACAUAAAAGUGCAUUCUUGUUGGUUGUUAUAACCUUAAUAUACAUUAAUAUAUAAUAUAAUAUUCUUCACAACUCAGAGAUUAGAUAUAGGUUUCAUUUUUAGAAGGUACACAGUAUUCAUUUUUAAAGUGCUUUAUUUUGAAAACUUUUCAGAUUAGUUUUACAGCUACAUCAAAAAAUGAAUGAUUGUUUGGUUAUUUCAUUUACCAAAGGUAAUUGAAGCAGAUAUUUAUGAAGUCAUUGGGAGUGAACUAUCUUCAAUUCAACAGGUUAAUCAUUAAUAUUUGGAGGAUUUCUUGCCAUGCUGUAUUAGGAGAACAUCACCAGACAGACAUUUAAAUUGUUUUAUUUAACUAACACAACAAUGUUAUGUAUUCUGGACUUUUUCUUCAACAGCA